GGCGGCAUGGCCAAGUGGUUAAGGCAGAGGACUGCAAAUCCUUUAUCCCCGGUUCGAAUCCGGGUGCCGCCUCCA
rnacentral:tRNA from 1 species